rnacentral:rRNA from 1 species
AUUGAACGCUGGCGGCAGGCCUAACACAUGCAAGUCGAGCGAGCGGCGGACGGGUGAGUAAUGUCUGGGAAAAAGUGCGUGGGAGGGGGAUAACUCCUGGAAAAGGUAGCUAAUACCGCAUACAACCCGAUGUGCCCAGAUGGGAUUAGAUAGUAGGUGGGGUAACGGCUCACCUAGGCGACGAUCCCUAGCUGGUCUGAGAGGAUGACCAGCCACACUGGAACUGAGACACGGUCCAGACUCCUACGGGAGGCAGCAGUGGGGAAUAUUGCACAAUGGGCGCAAGCCUGAUGCAGCCAUGCCGCGUGUGUGAAGAAGGCCUUCGGGUUGUAAAGCACUUUCAGCGGGGAGGCGUUACCCGCAGAAGAAGCACCGGCUAACUCCGUGCCAGCAGCCGCGGUAAUAC